GAUAGAACGCUAGCAGUAUGCCUUAUACAUGCAUGUCGAACGAAGUGCUUUAUGCACUUAGUGGCAAAUGGGUGAGUAACACGUACUUAACCUACCUUUUAGAUUGGAAUAACCAUGAGAAAUCGUGGAUAAUACCGAAUAUGAUUUAUUUUCGCAUGAAAUUAUUUUGAAAGAAGCGUUUGCUUCGCUAAAAAGAUAGGGGGGUGCGCGACAUUAGUUUGUUGGUAGGGUAAAGGCCUACCAAGACUAUGAUGUCUAGCCGAGCUGAGAGGCUGACCGGCCACAUUGGGACUGAGAUACGGGCCCAGACCGCUACGGUGGGGCAGCAGUAGGGAAUUUUUCGACAAUGAACGAAAGUUUGAUGGAGCAAUACUGUAGUGCAGGAAGAAAGGUCUUCGGAUUGGUAAAACUGCUGUCGUAAGGAAGAAAAGCUUUUAAGAGGAAAUGCUAAAAAGUUUGAACGGUACUUUAUAAG
rnacentral:rRNA from 1 species